CCUGUUUCUGUUUGUUUCAGUGUCAUAACAUUAACUACGAUGGCAGAAAUAGGUCACACUGUUUCUAGACUUCACAGUUUAAUCUGUAGAUGCAGUGUGAGUCCCAAAUGGAACUCUACUCCCUAUAAAGUGCACUACUUUUUUUAUACCAGGGUCCACAUAGGGCUCUGUUCAAAACUAGUGCACUAUAUAGGGAAUAGGGUUCCAUUUGGAACCAGUCUGGCAGAACUAGCUGACAGAAGCCAUUCAGUCCGGAGGAACCAAUGACGUCCCAUGCAGAUCUAAAAAACACAGAACUUUAAAAAAAAAUGUAUUGAUAAAUGUAUUGAUAAAUGUAUUGAUAGAUGUAUUGAUACAUGUAUUGAUAAAUGUAUUGAUAGAUGUAUUGAUACUUUAUGUCAGUAUUAGUUAAGGAAGGCUAAUAGCCUCUCCGUUUCAUGAUAAGUUAUAUUUAUGACCUUCCUUGUUCACUGCGUGUGUUCUGUUUUCUCAGUGCUACAUGUUAACUGAUAAAGAUGAUGUUGACGUAGAGGUGUGGCUAUUAGUCUACCUUGGAUGCAUCCCAAAUGGCACCAUGUUCCCUAUGUAGUGCACUAUCGUCCCUGGUCAAAGUUUUUUAUUUAUUUAUUUAACUAGUCAGUUAAGAACAAAUUCUUAUUUUACAAUGACGGCACAAACCCAGACGACGCUGGGCCAAUUGUGCACCGCCCUAUGGGACUCCCAAUCACAGCCGGUUGUGAUACAGCCUGGAAUCGAACCAGGUGUCUGUAGUGACGCCUCUAGCACUGUGACACAGUGCCUUAGACCGUUGCACCACUCAGGAGGGACUAGGGUCCCACUAGGGUGCAUUAACUCUACCUACAUGUACAUAUUACCUCAAUUACCUCAGCUAACCUGUGCCCCCGCACAUUGACUCUGUACCGGUGACCCUGUAUAUAGCCUCCACAUUGACUCUGUACCGGUGACCCUGUAUAUAGCCUCGCUACCGUUAUUUUAUUAUUGCUCUUUAAUUAUUUGUUAUUUUUCUAUUUUCUUCCAUUUUUUAUUUAUACAUUUUUUACUUCACUUUAUUUUAGUAAAUACUUUCUUCACACUUAUUUUUCUUAAAACGGUAUUGUUGGUUAAGGGCUUGUAAGUCAGCAUUUCACUGUAAGGUCUACUACACCUGUUGUAUUUGAAGUAUGUGACAAAUAAAAUUUGAUUUGGGAUGCAGCCCUUGUUUAUCUGUUGGGAGCUACACAAUGAAACUAAACACCUCAAAGAGUUGGA
ensembl:lncRNA